rnacentral:rRNA from 1 species
CAAUAGCGUAUAUUAAAGUUGUUGCAGUUAAAAAGCUCGUAGUUGGAUUUGUGGCGUACGGUGUGUUCCGGGCACUUGUUGUCUGAGUAACCUGCUGUUGCCAUCCUUGGGUGGAACCUGUGUGGCAUUAGGUUGUCGUGCAGGGGAUGCCCAUCAUUUACUGUGAAAAAAUUAGAGUGUUCAAAGCAGGCUUAUGCCGUUGAAUAUAUUAGCAUGGAAUAAUGAGAUAGGACUUUUUUGCUAUUUUGUUGGUUUGCGCAAAGAGGUAAUGAUUAAUAGGGACGGUUGGGGGUAUUCGUAUUCCAUUGUCAGAGGUGAAAUUCUUGGAUUUUUGGAAGACGAACUACUGCGAAAGCAUUUACCAAGGAUGUUUUCAUUAA